AUGUUUAUUGCAUUAUUUCAGUUUCAUUUGUGUUACCAUGACGAUGUUUAGUGUUUAUGUGAAUGACACACUGCACCACAUAUAUAUGUUAGUAUUUUCCUUUUAAGCUUGUGGAAAAGCUGCUUGUGAUGAGCUUUGAUUCAUCAUGUG